GACGAACGCUGGCGGCGUGCUUAACACAUGCAAGUCGAACGGACAGGCCAUGCUUUUGUGGCGUGCUCGAGUGGCGAAUGGGUGAGUAACACGUGAGUAACCUGCCCUUGACUUUGGGGUAACUUCAGGAAACUGGGGCUAAUACCGGAGAGGAGAUCCUGCUGCAUAGGGGGGGAUGGAAAGAUUCGGCGGUGGGGGAUGGACUCGCGGCUUAUCAGCUUGUUGGUGGGGUAGUGGCUUUCCAAGGCUUUGACGGGUAGCCGGCCUGAGAGGGUGACCGGCCACAUUGGGACUGAGAUACGGCCCAGACUCCUACGGGAGGCAGCAGUGGGGAAUAUUGCACAAUGGGCGGAAGCCUGAUGCAGCAACGCCGCGUGCGGGAUGACGGCCUUCGGGUUGUAAACCGCUUUCGCCUGUGACGAAGCGUGAGUGACGGUAAUGGGUAAAGAAGCACCGGCUAACUACGUG
rnacentral:rRNA from 1 species